AUUGCAUCUCAGCCUUUUGGCUAAGAUCAAGUGUAGUAUCUGUUCUUAUCAGUUUAAUAUAUGAUAUGUCUCUUAUCUGGAGACCAUAUAUUAAAUUUAUUUUUGGAACAGGGAGAUGGAAUAGGGGCUUGCUCUAUCCACUCCAUACAUCGACCUAGUAUUGCAGUACUUCCAGGAAUGGAAUGUUUUUC